rnacentral:rRNA from 1 species
GGGAGUGAAAUAGAACCUGAAACCCUGCACUUACAAGCUGUGGAAGCACAUUUCUUGUGUGACCGCGUACUUUUUGUAGAACGGGCCAACGAGUUACGUUAAGUAGCAAGGUUAAGCACUUAAGGUGCGGAGCCGUAGCGAAAGCGAGUUUUAACUGAGCGUUCAGUUACUUGACGUAGACCCGAAACCGGGCGACCUACCCAUGAGCAGGAUGAAGCGAAAGUAAAAUU